rnacentral:rRNA from 1 species
AACGAACGCUGGCGGCAUGCCUAACACAUGCAAGUCGAACGAGACCUUCGGGUCUAGUGUCGCACGGGUGCGUAACGCGUGGGAACCUGCCCUUAGGUUCGGAAUAACUCCCCGAAAGGGGUGCUAAUACCGAAUAAUGUCUUCGGACCAAAGAUUUAUCGCCUUUGGAUGGGCCCGCGUUGGAUUAGCUAGUUGGUAGGGUAAAAGCCUACCAAGGCGACGAUCCAUAGCUGGUCUGAGAGGAUGAUCAGCCACACUGGGACUGAGACACGGCCCAGACUCCUACGGGAGGCAGCAGUGGGGAAUAUUGGACAAUGGGCGAAAGCCUGAUCCAGCAAUGCCGCGUGAGUGAUGAAGGCCUUAGGGUUGUAAAGCUCUUUUACCCGGGAUGAUAAUGACAGUACCGGGAGAAUAAGCUCCGGCUAACUCCGUG